AGAGUUUGAUCCUGGCUCAGGGUGAACGCUAGCGGGAGGCUUAAUACAUGCAAGUCGUGCGGAGGAGCAAUCCUCAGCGGCGCACGGGUGCGUAACACGUAAGUAAUCUGCCCUUCACUUGGGAAUAUGUCGGAGAGAUCCGAAGCAAUGCCCGGUAUGCUCACGAGACGGCAUCGUCUUGGGAGGAAAGGAGUGAUCCG
rnacentral:rRNA from 1 species